rnacentral:rRNA from 1 species
AGAGUUUGAUCAUGGCUCAGAUUGAACGCUGGCGGAAUGCUUUACACAUGCAAGUCGAACGGCAGCACGGGGGCAACCCUGGUGGCGAGUGGCGAACGGGUGAGUAAUACAUCGGAACGUGCCCAGUCGUGGGGGAUAACGUAGCGAAAGCUACGCUAAUACCGCAUACGAUCUACGGAUGAAAGCGGGGGAUCGCAAGACCUCGCGCGAUUGGAGCGGCCGAUGGCAGAUUAGGUAGUUGGUGGGUAAAGGCUCACCAAGCCGACGAUCUGUAGCUGGUCUGAGAGGACGACCAGCCACACUGGGACUGAGACACGGCCCAGACUCCUACGGGAGGCAGCAGUGGGGAAUUUUGGACAAUGGGCGCAAGCCUGAUCCAGCCAUUCCGCGUGCAGGAUGAAGGCCUUCGGGUUGUAAACUGCUUUUGUACGGAACGAAACGGCCUUUUCUAAUACAAGAGGCUAAUGACGGUACCGUAAGAAUAAGCACCGGCUAACUACGUG